GAUAAACGCUAGCGGCAGGCUUAACACAUGCAAGUCGAGGGGCAGCACAGAAACAGCAAUGUUUUGGUGGCGACCGGCGGACGGGUGCGUAACGCGUAUGCAACCUACCUUUAACAGGGGGACAACGGAGAGAAAUUUCCACUAAUACCCCAUAACAUCGAUCAAGGCAUCUUGAUUGGUUGAAAACUCCGGUGUGUAAAGAUGGGGAUGCGUUGUAUUAGGUAGUUGGUGAGGUAAUGGCUCACCAAGUCUACGAUACAUAGGGGGACUGAGAGGUUAGCCCCCCACACUGGUACUGAGACACGGACCAGACUCCUACGGGAGGCAGCAGUGAGGAAUAUUGGUCAAUGGGGGCAACCCUGAACCAGCCAUGCCGCGUGCAGGAAGACGGCUCUAUGAGUUGUAAACUGCUUUUAAACAGGGAUAAAGCACAGUAUGUAUACUGUGUUGAAGGUACUGUAAGAAUAAGGAUCGGCUAACUCCGUGCCAGCCGCCGCAGUAA
rnacentral:rRNA from 1 species